CUAGGUGAGCCCAUCCUCCAUCUCUGAGCUUUAUCUGGAGUCCUCACGACGAAUAAAUCCAGAUUGAACCUAGGGCCUUACACGAGGUAGGAGUGUGGGCAACUUAUUAGUGUCUACAGCGCUGAAGGAAACCACUCUCCACGCUCCCUCUCCCAGCAACCACUACCUACCUAUGAAUCCAGAGAUGGGAGACUUCUCAUGAGCCCCACGCCACAUCAGAAUGUUUGAAGAUCCAGUCUUUUGCAGGUGAUAUGCUACCGAGAGUUCAAGAGUAUAACUGCCAUACUGUGCCUGAAACACAGUGCUCCUCAGCACUCCACCCCUCUCUGGUCCUUCCUGUCAUCUCUUCUGAUUUU